AUGCACAAACCUCUCCUCUUAUUCUUCAUCACUGAUUCACCCUUCGCUCCUCCACCUCCCCCCAUCUCUCAUCGCGUCACAGCCUCCAUCGGAAGAUUCUUUCAUCUUCGAUUUCGUUUCUUGUCAAUUGCGAGUUCUCCUCUUCAAGUCUUUGAAUGCGGCUCUGAUUUCACUUUGACAGUAUCGGUGAUGAAAACUUCAGGGUGA